rnacentral:rRNA from 1 species
AAAACUUUCAACAACGGAUCUCUUGGCUCUGGCAUCGAUGAAGAACGCAGCGAAAUGCGAUAAGUAAUGUGAAUUGCAGAAUUCAGUGAAUCAUCGAAUCUUUGAACGCACAUUGCGCCCGCCAGUGUUCUGGCGGGCAUGCCUGUUCGAGCGUCAUUACAACCCUCAGGCCCCCGGGCCUGGCGUUGGGGAUCGGCGGAAGCCCCCUGCGGGCACAACGCCGUCCCCCAAAUACAGUGGCGGUCCCGCCGCAGCUUCCAUUGCGUAGUAGCUAACACCUCGCAACUGGAGAGCGGCGCGGCCACGCCGUAAAACACCCAACUUCUGAAUGUUGACCUCGAAUCAGGUAGGAAUACCCGCUGAACUUAAGCAUAUCAAUAAGCGGAGGAAAAGAAACCAACAGGGAUUGCCCCAGUAACGGCGAGUGAAGCGGCAACAGCUCAAAUUUGAAAUCUGGCUCUCGGGCCCGAGUUGUAAUUUGUAGAGGAUGCUUUUGGUGAGGUGCCUUCCGAGUUCCCUGGAACGGGACGCCAUAGAGGGUGAGAGCCCCGUCUGGUUGGACACCGAUCCUCUGUAAAGCUCCUUCGACGAGUCGAGUAGUUUGGGAAUGCUGCUCUAAAUGGGAGGUAUAUGUCUUCUAAAGCUAAAUACCGGCCAGAGACCGAUAGCGCACAAGUAGAGUGACCGAAAGAUGAAAAGAACUUUGAAAAGAGAGUUAAAAAGUACGUGAAAUUGUUGAAAGGGAAGCGCUUGUGACCAGACUUGGGCUUGGUUGAUCAUCCGGGGUUCUCCCCGGUGCACUCUUCCGGCUCAGGCCAGCAUCAGUUCGCCCUGGGGGAUAAAGGCUUCGGGAAUGUGGCUCUCUCCGGGGAGUGUUAUAGCCCGCUGCGUAAUACCCUGUGGCGGACUGAGGUUCGCGCAUUCGCAAGGAUGCUGGCGUAAUGGUCAUCAGUGACCCGUCUUGAAACACGGACC